GUCGACAGCCAAACCACCCUGAACGUGCCUGAUCUCGUCUGAUCUCAGAGGCUAAGCAGGCUUGGUCCUGGUUAAUACUUGGAUGGGAGAAGCAUAAGAAAUCAUAUCUUGUAUCUGCU
rnacentral:rRNA from 1 species